rnacentral:misc_RNA from 1 species
AACGCACCUUGCACCUUUUGGUAUUCCGAAAGGUAUGCCUGUUUGAGUGUCUUGAAACCUCACACCCUAGAGUUUUCUCUAGGGACGUGGAUUUGGGUGUUGCACCUUGCUCACCUUGAAUUUCUUAGUGGUUCCAACCGUAGCCUGAUGUAAUAAGUUUCAUCUGGUCAAGGGAAGACUGCUUCUAAUCGCCUCGCGGCACUAUUUAAGACUAGACCUCAAAUCAGGUAGGACUACCCGCUGAACUUAA